UGAGGGCAGGGUAACCUGCUCCGACCGCAUGGAAGAAGUCAGCAGAGGGCAUAGUAGCCGCAGGAAAACGAGCCGUGAAUUCCACGGAGGACUCACCCCGGUGAAGGCC
rfam:Desulfobacula toluolica Tol2 complete genome